GUGGCUUCGCCACUGCAUUCAACAACUCAGGUUUAACAUAAUGACUUUAAGUUGCAUGAAAAAAACAUACUGACUUUAAGAUUCCACAAGAUCAAAAGUAGUUAUAUCCAGCACAGCAGAGUGGGCAAACACUUGCAUCAGUGUACAUAUAUACGAGUACAUUGUCUUUGCAUUCAUACAAAAGAAGUCUAUUUAAUUAGCAAAAGUUUCCAAGACUCUUGUAUGACGAUGGUCCACCGAUCUGUACUUCUGUACAUUAAAUAAUUCAACCAACAAGCGACCACCUUCAACAUGCAACUCUUCAUGUCCAGGAUAGCAUCAGUAGCUCUAACAAAAAGCUAGCCAUUUGCACUCUCCUGUUCAACCAAUACAAAUUGUUGGCCAAAAGUAAUGAAACGGAAACAAGCACUGAUCAUUUAGAAUAGAACUGUAUACAUCGCAUUAUUUGCCUCAUUUAAGUUGUUGCAGAAUUUGACAUGACUUAGGGAUUGACAUUGUCGUCCAUCUCGAGAAUUAGCAAGUAAUUCAGUCAACUUUUCCACUUCCUCACCAAGUGACUCAAUUUUUCUAAUAGCAGUUCUAACAAAAACCUAGCAAUUCUGUAAAAAAAAAACAGAAAAAUAAAAGAUUGCGUCUGAGAAGAGGGUGAAAUGGCUAUCUUUUCAUUUGCAUUAACAACUACUAUUCCAUCUAUACCUGAUCUAGCAGGAGAAACAUAUGCUGGAUCAAUAGUAAUGUCUGUGCCACCACCUAAAUCAGGACAUUGGUCUACAUGUUCAAUUUCAUUGUCCGGUUAAAUUGUGCCUAGGAAGGUACAUCCAUCACCUAUCCAUAGCUGGUAUUGACAAUCAAAUUUUAGAGGCCACUUAAAUUAGUUUGUGUUUGAGUGGUGUUUUCUAUGCGUGAAGUACAAGUACUCACCAGUGUACCCAUGGGGAAAAGAUAAAAAAACAUUGCGCAAGACAAAUAUAACAUGAGGAUAUAACAUUUCAGCAUUUUAGCAUAGUACUCAUGGCAAGCGGGAGGAAACUAACUGUUGUACAUUUGUUGUUCGGGACCUCUGUUCGGUAGAUGCUCAGCAAAGCAACGUACACCUUGGAUGAUAUCUAGGUUGAUUGCAGCAAAAUCGGUAGUGGACGACUAAACUGCACCAUAAAGCCAAAUAGUUCAAACUUGGAAAUAGAUUAUAAUGUCACUUAAAAUAAAUAUUUGAUCAAACAGGCUCAACAAUAUAGCUGUUUCUCACACAUGUCAACAAUAUAACUGACCAAACAGGCUCAGUGGCAAGAUUCCUCCACAUAAAAAAAAAGUUGGUUUGCACAGUGCUGCUGCAUAUGCAACAUUGACAUUGCAAUGCUAUCCAAGGCCUCUAAUUGUCUAUCCUUGAUGAUGAACUCUGCAAUUUUUGUGAGCAGGACGAUAAUAAUAAGUGUAUCAUGUGUAUCAUGGUACUACUAGGAAGAAGAGUGACAGACUGACAAGGCAUAUGAACUAACAGUCACAGCCAAGCAGGUAGAUAAUUUCUCGUUUCUCUAUUUUCUCCUUGUUUAUUUUGUCCAUUCAUUCACUUAUAAUUUAACACAUGAAACAAUCCAUACAUACAUGCAUACAUUCACUCAUUUCAGAAGAAACAAAUCAUGGAUCUGGUAUAACCGGGAGAUUUUUUACCUGAACAAGUGGAUAUCCGAGCCGAUUCCUUGAUCUCCGUUCCUCUUCAUGUUUUACCAAUCCUACAAAUAAUAGCACACAUUAGUAAGAAUUUAUAAAUUGCAUAUUCAGUUAUUCUUAUUCACAUAUUCACUGAUCUCUAAUUACAAAUUGAUUUAGGCAGCUGUUCUAGUGUUUUGUUGAUCUGUUCGUUACCUGAGCUAAAUGGUGGAGCGCCGGAUCAGUGGAGACGUGGAGCAGCCAAUUAAGCAGGAGGCGAGCGGCGGCGCUGCGGCAAGCCGCGCCAAGCCACC
rnacentral:lncRNA from 1 species